AGUCGGAAGUUAGAGAACGCAUUCCAAUAAAAAAAGCUUCUUUCAUACAUGCUUUGCAAGCGAAAAAGAAUGUAAGAAGCUAAAAAGAAGCAUUUUUUAUGCAUUCUUAAGAGUUUUUGUGAAAUCGUCCCUUCUACUACAAUGCAUAAAAAAGCCUUCUUUUGCAAUGUAAAAAAAAAAAUGAAACCCGAACGAUGCCGAUCGUCCGAUAUUUUGAGAUCGUGUUUUUCACCGAAAAUCUCGCUUACCAAAGAACGCAAAAGAAGUCUUGUUUUGGAAUGGACAAAAAAAUGGGAAACAAAUUUAAUCUAUUUUUCUUAAUGAACAGCAGCGACGUAAAUAUAUACACUUUUUAUCUUUAUAAACAAUAUCAGAACGCUUUGUUAUGUUGGUGGUAUAUGACUUGUUAAACUUUUCCUAAAUCUAAUUCUGUAAAAAAUAUUAAUAUUUAACUUUAUUAAUAAUAAUAUUUAAUAUAUUUUAUAAUGUAUUAGAAAAUUAUUAAUUUGACGCAGUUUUUUAUAUAUUUUAAUUUUAGGUAAUAAUAUAUACAAGAUUACAUGAUUCCUUUUUAAAGCGUUUUGAAUUAUUAUUUUACAUUUGCCGGCGCUAUAGUUUCCUCCGCAACUGUAUACACAAGGAGUAACCGAACAAACGGUACUCUAAAAAGCAAACGACAAGAACAAAAGGGAAAAGGCAAGAAAGCGCGCGGCCUUUUUCGUUUCUUUUGCAUUUCUCGCCACUUGCAUUUUGAUUUUCAAUUGAAAUAGCUGGUGUUUGUUUGAUUUGAUUUGUGAUUUGUGAAAUUUAUAUAUCUUUGCGGUUUUAAUUUUCAGAAAAACUAUUUCAAAACAAAAGGGUGGACUUACAUCUACAUACGAGUAGUGUAUUUAGGGUGGACCUAAGAACACAAAUUAAGUGAACAAAAAUAUAUUUUACAAAAUAAACACAUAUGAUACCUAUGAAUCUCCUUGAAAAAUUAUUAGAAUGGUACCAUAAUAAUAAUGUUACUAGAGAUCAACUUGAUGCACUUUUAAAAAUGUUUGAAUUCGGAAAAUCUAGAUCUUCAGUAGGAUAUUAAGUCCAAGUUUGAUAAUGGAGCUUAAUUAUGACGGUACUAGCGACAGGGAAGGUUUUGCGUCCUACAUUCAUUUAAAUGAAACAUUAUUUGAGUCACAAAGAAGAGACGGUUACCGCUUCACAGACCAUUUUAAAGACCUUCGACUGGCCUUCACUAGGGCCAAAAAUAAAACUUAUAAGGGUAAAAGUAUGGCCAAAAAGAUGAGAGAGGACGAAGACGGCCAGGAGUAAUACAAUAAGUUUUAAAGCAUGUUUAUAUUAAAAAAAAUUAAAUAAAUAAAAUUGGAAUUGACAAAAGAAACGGUUCCCAAUAGCUUUUUUGGGAACGAUAAUAUUUGCAUUCUUGGGUAAGACAAUUAGAAGGCUAAUUUUGGAAUCAUACUAAAUGUGUUCUUGUGGAAGGGAUCAAUAUUCAUUCUUUAGAUGUGUUACGCAAUGCUUGCUUU